rnacentral:misc_RNA from 1 species
UCCAACUUAACGUUGGCAGUCUCUUUAGAGUGCCCAACUGAAUGCUGGCAACUAAAGAUAAGGGUUGCGCUCGUUGCGGGACUUAACCCAACAUCUCACGACACGAGCUGACGACAGCCAUGCAGCACCUGUCUCCAUGUCUCUUUCGAGUCUUCCGGAUCUCUCCGGCGUUCAUGGGAUUCCAAACCCAGGUAAGGUUUUUCGCGUUGCAUCGAAUUAAACCACAUUCUCCACCGCUUGUGCGGGCCCCCGUCAAUUUCUUUGAGUUUUAAUCUUGCGACCGUACUCCCCAGGCGGGAUACUUAACGCGUUAGCUUCGACACUGAAGGGGUCAAUACCUUCAACAUCAAGUAUCCAUCGUUUACAGCGUGGACUAC